rnacentral:rRNA from 1 species
UUCCGGUUGAUCCUGCCGGAGGCCAUUGCUAUUGGAGUCCGAUUUAGCCAUGCUAGUCGCACGGGUUCAGACCCGUGGCGAAUAGCUCCGUAACACGUGGCCAAACUACCCUAUGGAUCGGAAUAACCUCGGGAAACUGAGGCUAAUACCGAAUACCGCUCUCACGUUGGAAUUACAGAGAGCACGAAACGCUCCGGCGCCAUAGGAUGUGGCUGCGGCCGAUUAGGUAGACGGUGGGGUAACGGCCCACCGUGCCGAUAAUCGGUACGGGUUGUGAGAGCAAGAACCCGGAGACGGUAUCUGAGACAAGAUACCGGGCCCUACGGGGCGCAGCAGGCGCGAAACCUUUACACUGCACGAACGUGCGAUAAGGGGACUCCAAGUGCGAGGGCAUACAGUCCUCGCUUUUCCCUACCGUAAGGUGGUAGGUGAAUAAGAGCUGGGCAAGACCGGUGCCAGCCGCCGCGGUAAUACCGGCAGCUCGAGUGAUGGCCAAUAUUAUUGGGCCUAAAGCGUCCGUAGCUGGCCGAACAGGUCCGUCGGGAAAUCCGCUCGCUCAACGAGCGGACGUCCGGCGGAAACCAGUCGGCUUGGGACCGGAAGACCCGAGGGGUACGUCCGGGGUAGGAGUGAAAUCCUGUAAUCCUGGACGGACCACCGGUGGCGAAAGCGCCUCGGGAGGACGGAUCCGACAGUGAGGGACGAAAGCUUGGGUCACGAACCGGAUUAGAUACCCGGGUAGUCCAAGCUGUAAACGAUGCUCGCUAGGUGUGGCACUGGCUACGAGCCAGUGCUGUGCCGUAGGGAAGCCGAGAAGCGAGCCGCCUGGGAAGUACGUCCGCAAGGAUGAAACUUAAAGGAAUUGGCGGGGGAGCACUACAACCGGAGGAGCCUGCGGUUUAAUUGGAUUCAACGCCGGA